UACGAAGGGGGCUAGUGUUGCUCGGAAUCACUGGGCGUAAAGCGCACGUAGGCGGACUCUUAAGUCGGUGGUGAAAUCCUGGAGCUCAACUCCAGAACUGCCUCCGAUACUGGGAGCCUUCGAGUCCGGGAGAGGUGAGUGGAACUGCGAGUGUAGAGGUGAAAUUCGUAGAUAUUCGCAAGAACACCAGUGGCGAAGGCGACUCACUGGACAUGUAUUGACGCUGAGGUGCGAAAGCGUGGGGAGCAAACAGG
rnacentral:rRNA from 1 species